UACGUAGGUGGCAAGCGUUGUCCGGAAUUAUUGGGCGUAAAGCGCGCGCAGGCGGUCCUUUAAGUCUGAUGUGAAAGCCCACGGCCCAACCGUGGAGGGUCAUUGGAAACUGGGGGACUUGAGUACAGAAGAGAAGAGUGGAAUUCCACGUGUAGCGGUGAAAUGCGUAGAGAUGUGGAGGAACACCAGUGGCGAAGGCGACUCUUUGGUCUGUAACUGACGCUGAGGCGCGAAAGCGUGGGGAGCAAACAGG
rnacentral:rRNA from 1 species